UACGAAGGGGGCUAGCGUUGCUCGGAUUGACUGGGCGUAAAGGGCGCGUAGGCGGUUCGUACAGUCAGACGUGAAAUUCCUGGGCUCAACCUGGGGGCUGCGUUUGAUACGUGCGGACUUGAGUGCGGAAGAGGGUCGUGGAAUUCCCAGUGUAGAGGUGAAAUGCGCAGAUAUCAGGAAGAACACCCGUGGCGAAAGCGGCUCUCUGGAACGGUACUGACGCUGAGACGCGAAAGCGUGGGGAGCGAACAGG
rnacentral:rRNA from 1 species